UACAACUUUCAGCAACGGAUCUCUUGGCUCUCGCAUCGAUGAAGAACGCAGCGAAAUGCGAUAAGUAAUGUGAAUUGCAGAAUUCAGUGAAUCAUCGAAUCUUUGAACGCACCUUGCGCUCCUUGGUAUUACGAGGAGCAUGCCUGUUUGAGUGUCAUUA
rnacentral:rRNA from 1 species